UACGUAGGGUGCAAGCGUUAAUCGGAAUUACUGGGCGUAAAGCGUGCGCAGGCGGUUUUGUAAGUCUGUCGUGAAAGCCCCGGGCUCAACCUGGGAAUUGCGAUGGAGACUGCAAGGCUUGAAUCUGGCAGAGGGGUAGAAUUCCACGUGUAGCAGUGAAAUGCGUAGAGAUGUGGAGGAACACCGAUGGCGAAGGCAGCCCCUGGGUCAAGAUUGACGCUCAUGCACGAAAGCGUGGGGAGCAAACAGG
rnacentral:rRNA from 1 species